rnacentral:rRNA from 1 species
GACGAACGGCUGGCGGCGUGGAUUAGGCAUGCAAGUCGAACGGUAUCAUCCUUUCGGGGGUGAGAGAGUGGCGAACUGGUGAGUAACACGUAGGUUAUCUACCCUCAAGACGGGGACAACCCAGGGAAACUUGGGCUAAUACCGGAUGUGAGCAACUUUAGUUGUUUGAAAGGUGGCGUAAGCUGUCGCUUGGGGAUGAGCCUGCGUCCUAUUAGUUAGUUGGUGAGGUAACGGCUCACCUAGGCAAUGAUAGGUAGGCGGCCUUAACGGGUGGUCGCCCACACUGGGAUUGAGAUACGGCCCAGACUCCUACGGGAGGCAGCAGUCGAGAAUAGUCUACAAUGGUCGGAAGACUGAUAGUGCGACGCCGCGUGAACGAUGAAUCCCUUCGGGGUGUAAAGUUCUUUUAUAUGUGAGCAGUGCUUCUUAUAUUAACAGUAUGGGGAGAGAGAUAUUAGCAUAUGAAUAAGCAACGGCUAACCCCGUG